GGGCUUGCUUCGGCAGCACAAAUACUAAAAUUGGAAUGGUAUGGAGAAGCUUAGCAUGGCCCAUAUGCCAGGUGACCCAGAAAUGCAUGCCGCGUUCCAUAAUUUU
rnacentral:snRNA from 1 species